rnacentral:rRNA from 1 species
UACAGAGGUCUCAAGCGUUGUUCGGAUUCAUUGGGCGUAAAGGGUGCGUAGGUGGCGCGUUAAGUCAGGUGUGAAAUUUCGGAGCUUAACUCCGAAACUGCAUUCGAUACUGCGGUGCUUGAGGACUGGAGAGGAGACUGGAAUUCAUGGUGUAGCAGUGAAAUGCGUAGAGAUCAUGAGGAAGACCAGUGGCGAAGGCGGGUCUCUGGACAGUUCCUGACACUGAGGCACGAAGGCCAGGGGAGCAAACGGG